ensembl:lncRNA
GAGAGUUCUGUGGUAGAGAGAAGUCUGGGUAGAGAGAGGACUGAGAGAGAGAGAGAGAGAGAGAGAGAGAGAGACAGGGAGAGAGAGAGAGAAUACUGGGGUAGGGAGAGUGCUGGGGUAGAGAGAAUACUGGGGUAGAGAGAGGACCGGGUAGAGAGAGGACUGGGGUAGAGAGAGGACUGGGGUAGAGAGAGAGAGAGUGCUGGGGUAGAGAGAGGACUGGGGUAGAGAGAGGACUUGGGUAGAGAGAAGACUGGGGUAGAGAGAAUACUGGGGUAGAGAGAGAGAGAGUGCCGGGGGAGAGAGAGGACUGGGGUAGAGAGAAUACUGGGGUAGAGAGAGAGAGAGUGCUGGGGUAAAGAGAGGACUGGGAGAGAGAGAGAGAGAGAGUGCUGGGGUAGAGAGAGGACUGGGGUAGAGAGAAUCCUGGGAGAGAGAGAAUACUGGGGUAGAGAGAAUACUGGGGUAGAGAGAGGACCAGGAGAGAGAGAGAGAGAGUUUGGGGUAGAGAGAGGACUGGGGUAGAGUGAAUACUGGGGUAGAGAGAGAGAGAGAGAGUUUGGGGUAGAGAGAGGACUGGGGUAGAGUGAAUACUGGGGUAGAGAGAGAGAGAGAGAGAGAGUUUGGGGUAGAGAGAGGACCGGGGUAGAGAGAGGACCGGGGUAGAGAGAAGACUGGGGUAGAGAGAGGACUGGGGUAGAGAGAAGACUGGGGUAGAGAGUGGACUGGGGUAGAGAGAAGACUGGGGUAGAGAGAGGACAGAGAUAGAGAGAAUACUUGGGUAGAGAGAAUACUGGGGUAGAGAGAAGACUGGGGUAGAGAGAAGACUGGGGUAGAGAGAAGACUGGGGUAGAGAGAAGACUGGGUUAGAGAGAGGACUGGGGUAGAGAGAGGACUUGGGUAGAGAGAAUACUUGGGUAGAGAGAAUACUGGGGUAGCGAGAGGACAGGGAUAGAGAGAAUACUGGGGUAGAGAGCAUACUGGGGUAGAGAGAGGACCAGGGUAGAGAGAGAGAGAGAGAGUUUGGGGUAGAGAGAGGACAGGGAUAGAGAGAAUACUGGGGUAGAGAGAAUACUGGGGUAGAGAGAGGACAAGGAUAGAGAGAAUACUGGGGUAGAGAGAAUACUGGGGUAGAGAGAGAGAGAGAGAGAGUUUGGGGUAGAGAGAGGACUGGGGUAGAGAGAGGACUGGGGUAGAGAGAAGGCUGGGGUAGAGGGAGGACAGGGAUAGAGAGAAUACUGGGGUAGAGAGAGAGAGAGUUUGGGGUAGAGAGAGGACUGGGGUAGAGUGAAUACUGGGGUAGAGAUAAUACUGGGGUAGAGAUAAUACUGGGGUAGAGAUAAUACUGGGGUA